rnacentral:sRNA from 1 species
AUCGUCGAUCUGCUGCGGGCAGAUGAAAUGGAUGUGGCAGUCGAUGCCGCCCGCGGUGACGAUCUUGCCUUCGCCCGCGAUCGCCUCGGUGCCGGGGCCGAUGACGAUGUCGACCUUGGACUGGAUGUCGGGGUUGCCGGCCUUGCCGAUGCCGACGAUGCGGCCGUCCUUCAGGCCGAUAUCGGCCUUCACGAUGCCCCAGUGAUCGACGAUCAGCGCAUUGGUGAUCACGGUGUCGACCGCGCCCUGCGCCCGCGUGCGCUGGCUCUGGCCCAUGCCGUCGCGGAU